CCUUUUCCCGAUAAAAUCCCGGAAUUUCGCCCCAAAAUUCCGGAGUUUUUUCGUCUUUUUCCUCAUUUUCCCUUUGUUUUCCUCAUUUUCCCUUCGUUUUCCUCAUUUUCCCUUCGUUUUCCUCAUUUUUCCUUUUUUUGCCUCAUUUUUCCUUCGUUUUCCUCAUUUUUUCUUCUUUUUCCUCAUUUUUCCUUUUUUUGCCUCAUUUUUCCCCUUUUUUUGUUCAAUUUCUUUUCCUUUUUUUCCCCUGAUUUUUACCUUAUUUUUUCCCUUUAUUUUCCUAUUUUUUUCCUCAUUUUUUCCCAUUUUUUCACGGAUUUUUUCCCUCCUUUUUUCCCAUUUUCUCCUCGUUUUUUCCUCAUUUUUUCCCAUUUUUUCCUCAAUUUUUCCUUAUUUUUUGCUCCGUUUUCUCCUCAUUUUUUCUCCAUUUUUUCCUCAUUUUUUUCCUUUUUUCCCAUUUUCUCGUUUUUUCCUUUUUUCCCCUUUUCCUUUUUUUUCUCAAUUUUUCCUCAUUUUUUCUCCAUUUUCUCCUCGUUUUUUUCAUUUUUUUCCUCAUUUUUUCCUUUUUUUUCCUCAAUUUUUCCUUAUUUUUUGCUCCAUUUUCUCCUCAUUUUUUCUCCAUUUUUCCCUCAUUUUUGCUCCAUUUCCCCCCAUUUUUUUCCCCUCCUUUUUUCCCCAUUUUCUCAAUUCUUUCCCAAUUUUUCCCUCAUUCUUUUUCCAAUUUUUUCCCAUUUUCUCCUCAUUUUAACUCCAUUUUCUCCUCAUUUUUUCCCAUUUUCUCAUUUUUUCCCAUUUUCUCCUCAUUUUUCCUCCAUUUUUUUACCUUUUUCCUCCUCGUUUUUUUGCCGUUAUUUUCCCUUUUCUCCUGCGUUUUUCUCCAUUUUUUUUCCCAUUUUCCCACUGAUUUUCCUCCUUUCCCUUCCUCAAUUUCACCUUUUUUGGGCAUUUUUAAACCAUUUCUCCCCUCCUUUUUCCACCUUUUGUUUUUCCCGUUUUUCCACCGUUUUUAGGGAUUUUUUUCACUUUUUUUUUUAAUUUUUCACCCAUUUUUUUUCCCUUUUUUCUCUCAAUUUUCAUCCUUUUCUCCUCAUUUUCCAUCAUUUCAUUUUCCUCUCACUUCUUUCCCCUUUUCUGCCAUUUUUAACCCAUUUUAAUCCAUUUUCACCAAUUCUUAACCAUUUUUCACCAUUUUUAACCCAAUUUUUCACCAUUUUUCACCAUUUUUAACCCAUUUUUAAUCCAUUUUCACCAAUUUUUAACCAUUUUUCAUCAUUUUAAACCAAUUUUUCACCAUUUUUUUACCAUUUUUAACCAAUUUUCAAUUUUUAACCAGUUUUUACCAUUUUAAACCAAAUUUUUACCAUUUUUAACCCAAUUUUUCACCAUUUACCAUUUUUUUUACCAUUUUUAACCAAUUUUCACCAUUUUUAACCCAAUUUUUAACCCAAUUUUUCACCAUUUUUUAACCAUUUUUUUUACCAUUUUUAACCAAUUUUUCACCAUUUUCAACCCAAUUUUUAACCAUUUUUCACCGAUUUUCACCAUUUUUAACCAUUUUCCACCAUUUUUUAACCAAUUUUCACCAUUUUUUGAGCAUUUUCAACCACUUUUGACCAGUUUUAACCAUUUUUUCACCGAUUUUCACCAUUUUUGAACCAUUUUUAACCCUUUUUUACCAUUUUUGGACCAUUUUUAACCAUUUUUAACCAGUUUUUGGACCAUUUUUAACCAUUUUCCACCAUUUUUAACCAUUUUUAACCAUUUUCCACCGCUUUUCCCUCGUUUUUUCUCAUUUUUCCACCAUUUCCGAGCACUCUGGGUU
ensembl:lncRNA